rnacentral:lncRNA from 1 species
CUCGAAUUAAAACUAAGAAUUAAACAAUUUUAUCAUCCAUCUAAUAUAUAAAAAGAUUUAGCCUAGCAUCACGUUGGAAUUAAACAUAUAAGAGAGGAACGACAUCAUCGAAAUUUGACAGAACGAAAUUAAUUCUUCACUUUUUCUUGGCUCUUGACCGUGUAUGUGUGUCUCUUCCCAAGCUGCCGGUAACCCCUUUUGUAGCGUGUAUAUAUACAUAUAUAAUUUCCUUCCAAACAACUGCAAUGUUUGACCCAGAGAGACUUCACUUUUUCCCAAAUUUCCAGCCGCAAUUCUGUGUUGAAGCUGUGUGUAUAUAUAUCUAUAAUCAGCACUUGCAAAGAAGCAACCCACCUUGUUUGACUCCAAAAAGGAACCCCUCUUUCUNNNN